rnacentral:rRNA from 1 species
GAUGAACGCUGGCGGCGUGCUUAACACAUGCAAGUCGAACGGAAAGGCUCCUUCUUGCCGGGGUACUCGAGUGGCGAACGGGUGAGUAACACGUGGGUGAUCUGCCCUGCACUUCGGGAUAAGCCUGGGAAACUGGGUCUAAUACCGGAUAGGACGAUGGUUUGUAUGCCAUUGUGGAAAGUUUUUCGGUGUGGGAUGAGCUCGCGGCCUAUCAGCUUGUUGGUGGGGUAAUGGCCUACCAAGGCGUCGACGGGUAGCCGGCCUGAGAGGGUGUACGGCCAAAUUGGGACUGAGAGACGGCCCAGACGGCUACGGGAGGCAGCAGUGGGGAAUAUUGCACAAUGGGCGCAAGCCUGAGGCAGCGACGCCGCGUGGGGGAUGACGGCCUUCGGGUUGUAAACACCUUUCGCUAGGGAAGAAGCGAAAGUGACGGUAACUGGAGAAGAAGCACCGGCUAACUACGUG